CAUUAGAUGGCUGAAAGAAAGUAGUGGUCUCUUAAACCAAUAAAUAAUAGAUUAACGCCUAUUUCUAGUGG
rnacentral:tRNA from 1 species